rnacentral:lncRNA from 1 species
UUCCAAAGACUUAGGAUAAUAGCUCACUUAGAAAGUAUAUAGGUUAAGAAAAGACGAGAGGCUAAGUUAAGGAAAUUAGGGAAUUUUACAACAAAAUCGGUAUUUUUCCAACACCCAGAAGUCUCCCUAGUAUAGAUAUAAUUUGAAUAACCAUUGUGCCAAAAUCUCUUGAUUUAAAUUUGUGGAAUCCUUUAGUAGUUUAUCUAUCCAGUCGGACACCAUCUAUAAAGUCACACAUUAAGUAGGUUUGUCGAUGAAUAUAAGCGAAUCAUCUAAGCAAGUUAUUAAGGUCAUACUGUGGUAAUACGGUUAAACCUUGAAGAAAAAAAAUAUAUAAGGUCAUACUGUGGUAAUACGGUUAAACCUUAGAAAAAAAUAUAUUUAUAUGAUUGCUAAUACAAAAAUUUGUAUCAUC